rnacentral:rRNA from 1 species
GAAUAUUGGACAAUGGGCGAAAGCCUGAUCCAGCAAUGCCGCGUGAGUGAUGAAGGCCUUAGGGUUGUAAAGCUCUUUUACCCGGGAUGAUAAUGACAGUACCGGGAGAAUAAGCUCCGGCUAACUCCGUGCCAGCAGCCGCGGUAAUACGGAGGGAGCUAGCGUUGUUCGGAAUUACUGGGCGUAAAGCGCACGUAGGCGGCUACUCAAGUCGGGGGUGAAAGCCCGGGGCUCAACCCCGGAAUUGCCUUUAAGACUGCAUCGCUUGAAUCCAGGAGAGGUGAGUGGAAUUCCGAGUGUAGAGGUGAAAUUCGUAGAUAUUCGGAAGAACACCAGUGGCGAAGGCGGCUCACUGGACUGGUAUUGACGCUGAGGUGCGAAAGCGUGGGGAGCAAACAG